rnacentral:lncRNA from 1 species
GGAAAAACAAAGUUGCUGCUGAUUCUAACUCAAGUGAAAUGCAGGGGAAAAAGCUAGCUGAUACUGCAUGAAAAUGUACAAAAUUAGACUGCCUAAAGAAUUAUUUCAACUUUCUAAGUACCAGGGAUGACUUAUCCAGCACUUUUUUCUCCUGACUGUGACUCCAUCUACAUGCAUAUAUUUCUGUAAAUGAUCUCUUCAAGAAAUAUUUUGUUGAUUAGAACAGAUUAUUGGCACAGUGGUCUGAUCUUAUUUCAGAGGAUGAAAGAUCAUUAACCCUGCAGGGAAAUCCUAACACUGAUGCUUCCAUCCACAGAUACAACAUUCACUUUUAAGUGAGUACCAGUCUGAUAUGAGUUGCUGAAGAUGGGUGAGCUGAGGAAGAAGCAAAUGAUGUUGGUGCUGUUAAGAUACUGGAAAUGGCCAGUUCUGCUGUGCAAAAGGGGCAGGACAAACAGCAUUCCCCGAUCUUGAGAGAAAAACAGAAGGUUACAGGAAGCUUCCCCAACAUUUUACUUCUCCGUGGAGCACUCGGAUCAG